UAUUGGAAGGGCUCGUCGCCAGU
rnacentral:piRNA from 1 species